GCGCUCAGUUGGCGCUCGCUCUGCACUCUGCCCGUCAGCACUCAGCUGUUGCUGCUGCUGCCUGGCCUUUUCCUGCUGCCUGCUCUGGAGCACCAAUCCCAGCAGGAUGAGCACUGCUGCGCCAGUGGAGACUAACAGAGACACUGUGGUUGCGAUGGAAGUGGACAUGGUGCUGAAUGAGGAAGAGAUGAUGGAGGUGGACGUGGAAGACCAGGUUGAGGAGAUGGAAGUUGAUGAGGAGGAUGACAUCGAGGAGAUGGAAGUGGAUGAGAAGGAUGAGGAGGAGCCCAUGGUCCUUGGAUGAAGAUGGAGCCCCACAAGACUGAUGCAGAUGAUGGCUGUAGAUAUUACGGCGGUGUAUAUAUGUUUGAAAAGUUAGGAUAUUUUUGUAAAUAUGUUCUUAGGUUAGUA